rnacentral:misc_RNA from 1 species
AAAAAAAAACACCCAAAGGAUGAACCCAGCCCAAUACAUUGCUCUAGAGAAAUCUCCAGAAGCCGUCACCAAAGAAAACUUUCGGCGAAACUCCUCCAGGGUUUUGCUGCAACCCGCCACCGGUGGAAAAGAAGGAAACACCGCAUAAAGUGCCUACCCACAUCCAACAGCACCGCAUCACAGCAGAACAAAAGCCAAAAUACCGAAGCCUCAGUCAAGCCAAGAACACAAAGGAAACAGUACAGACAAACCCAGCAAUCCAAGAAGAGCACUCUAAUAGCCAUAUCGUUACCCCCUUUGCCGCCUGAGAAGACAACGAGCUCUUCCUUCUACCGCACAUCCUGCACUGUAAACAACAUUGAGGCUCUACCAAACAAGGAUAGCUGAACCAAGCUUAUGAUAUGGGGCGCUGGAUGAUAACUGGUAACUAACACCUACAACCUUUUUAACCCCGGCCCGGUAACCAUCGUCGGAAACCGCUCAUUACUCCACCUCUUUGCUCCGGCCAAGAUCACCCUCAUAACCAACAUCGAACCAUAGAUCUACAAAAGAACCCUCACAAGAAGCACAAAGAUAUGAAGCCAAACCCAAAAAAUAUAUGCACUCCAACCUAGAGGUAGGGAGGGACCACCUACACUCUGGGUCUGGGGUAGGGAAGAGCG